rnacentral:rRNA from 1 species
AUGUCGAUCGUCCCGUACGCCGGCGGAACAGGCGGGUCGCUGCCGCAGUCGGUGCCACUGCUCACCGGCGACAACUACACGGCGUGGUCGAUCAAGGUGGAGGCAAACCUUGAUGCGGCCGGGCUGUGGGAGGCGGUGGUGGGGCCGGAGGACGCGGCGGCGGCCGUCAUCGCGAAGAAGGACAAGCCCGCGCGCGCCUACCUGCUCGGUGCACUCGCCGAGGACCUGCUGCUGCAGGUGGCGUCGAAGAAGACGGCGGCCGAGGUAUGGGCGAGUUUGAAGGCCAGGUUUGUGGGCGCGGACCGCGUGCGCGCGGCGCGGCUCAUCACGCUCCGUGGGGGAUUUGAGCUCCUGCGCAUGGCGGAGUCAGAGUCCCUGGACGCGUUCGCCGGGAGGCUUGGUGGCAUGGCGGCGCGCUACGCGGCGCUGGGCUCGACCCUGGAGGACGCGGCGCUUGUCAAGAAGCUGCUCGACUCGGUGCCGAACCGCCUGUACGCGGCGGUGGCAGGGAUCGAGCAGUUCUGCGACGUCAGCACGAUGCUGUUCGAGGACGCGUUGGGGCGGCUGAAGGCAUUUGACGAGCGGCUGCGACGACGCGAUCAGGCGGGCGGCGAGCGACCUGACGGCGAGCUGCUGUACACGGCGGCGCAAUGGCGGGCGCGGGAGCAGCGACGAGGUGGUGCACGGGACGACGACGACGUGCGCAGCGAGGCGUUGGGCUUCGGCGGGAAUCGGCGCGGUCGCUGCUACAAGUGCGGCGAACGGGGGCAUUUCAAGCGCGAGUGCCCGCAGCUCAAGAAGGCACCGGCGGCGGAGCGAGCCCUGCUCGUGGACGACGUCGAGGACGCCGGGCUGCUCUGA